GGCGAGCGGCGGACGGGUGAGUAAUGUCUGGGGAUCUGCCCGAUGGAGGGGGAUAACCACUGGAAACGGUGGCUAAUACCGCAUAACGUCGCAAGACCAAAGUGGGGGACCUUCGGGCCUCACACCAUCGGAUGAACCCAGAUGGGAUUAGCUAGUAGGUGGGGUAAUGGCUCACCUAGGCGACGAUCCCUAGCUGGUCUGAGAGGAUGACCAGCCACACUGGAACUGAGACACGGUCCAGACUCCUACGGGAGGCAGCAGUGGGGAAUAUUGCACAAUGGGCGCAAGCCUGAUGCAGCCAUGCCGCGUGUGUGAAGAAGGCCUUCGGGUUGUAAAGCACUUUCAGCGAGGAGGAAGGUGGUGAGCUUAAUACGUUCAUCAAUUGACGUUACUCGCAGAAGAAGCACCGGCUAACUCCGUGCCAGCAGCCGCGGUAAUACGGAGGGUGCAAGCGUUAAUCGGA
rnacentral:rRNA from 1 species